GACAUACACAAAUAAAACUCACUUACCUAAAAGCCCCGAGCAUCAGACCUCUUUGUGUUGCUUCUUCACCCCCACUCCUUUAUUUCCAACACUUGUUUCACCACUCUUCAUUUCCUCUUCCUUUGCUGCCUGUUUUCUUCACAUGUUCUAAUUUCUGCUCUGUUUUUAUGCACUAUUUUUGGGGUUUUUUUUUAUUGCUUCGUUUUCAUUUGGCUGAAAAUUAAUAAAUUAAUGUUUUCAUAAUUUUUCCUUGCUUUUGAGCCAGUAGAGUAUUAUGGUAUCACUUCACCAUUUCUGUUUCCUCUUUCCACCUUCUUUGCUAUUCAUUUUGUUGCUGUCUUUUAUCCCUUUUCUGGUCUUCCUCCAUGGCAAUCAAUCCCCCUGUGCAACGAUCCCCUCUCAGUGCCUUCAUCCCACCUUCUCCCUGCAGAGCUCCUGUUAUAUCCCCGCAACAGCACUGUCGGAAGCGAUCUGAAUUUCCAGAUGAAUUUGUUGUGCUUUAGAAGUUUUGACAGGGUGUAAGAGUUACACUAAACAUGCAAUAUCGAGCAUUUCUGAUGGAAACUUUCUGGAUUUAGGGACAUGACUUCAUGGACAAGCAGAGAUGUGAAAUGGAGCGAAGCAGAGCACCAUGCCAGUGUGGGGUGGAACAUUCUCUCUGGCUUAACUCUGUCUAAGCCACUUAUUCCACUAUUAUUUGGCCUUCCAAAUGUCAGAGGUCAUUACCGCCUGAGUGUUCUUCCAGGAUCCGUCCCUGAAAUCUGGAUAUCCCUCCUGCCAAGAGAACACAAUAUUAGGAACAGUGCUCUGUUUUAGCUUACAGUUGCUCAUAUUUUCCGGGUGUUUAAAACCACUCAGAAGAAAUGUCAGUUGAUUGAAGCAGCUGAGUGGGCUGCUCUCGUUGCUUCAUCCCGUGGCCAGGCUGUGCUUGCUGCUGGGGAGCUGCUAGGCCGGCCCUGCAGCUCACAGGGUCAGGUCUAUACAUCCAGUACGUGCACGUUCGUCAAGGUCUAAAUAUGCUGUAAACCAGAAAACAUGUUUAAAAUUCAACCCUAUGCUGCUUCGUUACUAUUAGUCACAAGUAUACUCAAUACUUAAAGGGAAAACAGUGUUUCGGGCUUGUG
ensembl:lncRNA